CACAAUCUUUUUACUAACACAUAAUCUCUGUAUAAGAUUUAGUGAUUGGAGAUUCUGCAUUGGACCAUGAAAAAUGAUUGCUUGUUAUGUUUCACAUCAUGAUUGACAUGCUCAGAUGAUCAGAAAACAGUUGUUACUUUAGUGCUCCACCUGACAGAACCAACAGCAUCAUGCCUCUAUCAGAUUGCAAUGUUUAAAGCUGUGUGUAGAAUAGCAUCGUGCUCCAAUGGUUCACAGUGUAAUAUCAAACUACUGGAAGCAAUGCAGAAAAAAUUGGGCACGCUAGUCUUUUUGUCAGUAUGCUGUCAGGCAUCCAAGAUGCUGCAAUGGCUGUCUUGCAGUAUGACACACUACAUGGGAUAAGACAAGUAAUAAUCAUGUCCAAGUCAUAAAACGCAUCAAUGUGUUUUGGCAUCAGAAGUGAUCUGAGCAAGAUCUUGGUGGGACUGAAUAAAAGGCACGCGGUGAAAUGAAUCGACAAUUUGUGGAUUUACUUCAAAUGUGAUGAAACUAAUUUUUUCAUUAUGUUGUUUUCAGCUGCUGCAUGUUGUUUUGCUGUGAGCCUGACUGUGUCCAACUUGUGGCUGUCAGCAGUUUUGGCAUAUGGACAGAUUUGCCAUGAAGCUUUGGGGCACAUUUUUGUUCGCAAAAUAGGAGCAUUUAAAGAGUAGAGCGCUCAUUUCCAGUGUUAACGCUGUUUCUCAAAGCUGGAGCUAUGAUCUCACAUCUAGAUGUCAGAAUACAUAAUAGACUGCUGCACAGAAGAUCUUUGGCUCGAUGCUGUAUAGUAAUACUCAAUCCAACAGAGACAGGCUUGGGAUUCCAGCAGUGUCCUGGAACGGCUUUUCAGAAACAGUGAUUUAGUUAAUUUUGACAGGUAGCGCACAAUGCUCCAAAAAUUAUGAACCAAAAUAGCAGCUCAUUAAACUUUUGGAAAUGCGGCCUCUUUAUGGCAGUUUUUCCGGUUCAGCCUCACGUUGUAGGCAAGUAGGUAGGCAAACAUCAAAUCUGUGUGUCGGCAGCAAAUCUAGAAGAUGACAAUAUUUUAUUCUGACUAUGUUACAUUACAAAGACGUAUUUGGGGAGGCCUUGGCAAGGAAAUGUGCCACUGCUGCAUGUAGUGUCACUUAGGGAGUCAUUUAAACCUCAACCUGAUCUACUGUUAGUCAAACCCACAGGGGGCUGCAUAAAAAAAAACCCUGACUGGCCUCAACUGAAAUUUACCCUCCUCAGCUGGUUACCAAGUUAACUGUUGUGCUCUUUGUGCGAUGGAGCUCAGAGGGACGUGUUGUGUUUUAGUCAUAAGGAUAAUUAACUGGUCACAGUCGAGUUUUCCAGGAAAUUGACUGUAUUAGCGACACUCGUCUCUAUUCUCACCUCCUUCCUUUUAUUUUUUUUCCCACUUGGCAGCUGUCACACAGAGAGCUUUGAAGUGGGCGUAAAUAAGGAGACAUGCAUGCUUAAUGAGCAAGAGUAAAAACGGCUUAAUUCUUGAUUUAGCAGCGCUACUCUGCCUACUGAACUGAAUGUCGAGGCAGUGCGGUUGCCUAAUUAAGUUGCCUGUUAACAAAAAGAGGCCAACAGCGACAUUUGCUGUUGUGUCAGCCAGAUCAUAUCUGUUCAGCUGCAAUUAUUCUGUGAAAAAGUCCAAAACAUCUGCAAUCAAACACUGAUUUCACCUUCUGAACUCACUUGUCAAACAGAUGAACAGCUGACGGCGACUUGCCAAAAGGAUAUAAUGAGUCCAUAUUAUAUACUGACAAUCACUUCUAGUCCGUGCUAUGUUCAGUGCCAGGAAGUGAAAGGGAGAAAAAAAAAACAAGAAGUAAGGAAUGGUCUUUUGCUUUCAGAUUUACAGCCGUGGGGUCACCAGUGGAAGUGGAGCUGGAGCAGAGUGGUGCAGAACUCUUCUCCUCCCUCCUGGCCUCCUUCCCUGCUCCUACCCCAUUAUUUAUUUUUUUUUUAAAGUUUUGCUCUCUCUUACUGUAUAUGGGUCACACUGUGAUUGUGUGUACAUACAGGUGAAUAUGUUCUCUUUUCCACUGAGCAUAUGGAAAGAAGGACUCAAACAGUUACUCCUAAGUUAACGUAACACAGUGGAACAAUGCCGCAUUUACAGUAAAGGUCACGUCUUUAAACUUCUAGUUGCGCAGUCAUGCACAGAAUAUAUGUUUCUGUUUCAAAAGCGGACUCAUUAUGAACUUCUCAUCACCCCUACAGGAUUUGAAACAAAUUACUCAUGAUCCGUAAUGAUGAUUUUCUAAUGCCGUAACAGUGUGUGGGUGAUCUGACCUUUACACGACUGAUGAGAUAGUCUUUAGUUUUGUAUGUAAAACUCUUUUUUUCUGUGAAGAUUUACAUAAUUUUUAGACAUCCCAAAUCUAAUGUUAUAAUUUACAAUAAAUAAUCUAUUCAGGAGACUUUAAGGAAUUAACCCAUGUACAGUGUGCACUCAAUGUAAAGAAAAAGUACAAUUCAUAAUAUUGUAAUUUUCUAAAAGCUCCUAAAAUUAAUCAUAAAGAACUCGACUAUGUCUACUUCGGCACAACACACCGAAUCACAAUAGCAGGUAUUAUUUCUAAUGUGAUAAUAGCACAGACAACAAUAUUAUUUAUUUACUUAUUAUUUAAAAGCGAUUUCUUAGACAAUCUGUAACUAAACUGAAUCCCUGAGCUUGUCUAUGAGUAAGUGUGUGUGUGCCUACUCGUUUACCUGUGUUGCACAUGAGAAGUCAUCACAAUCUCAGCCCAGGCAGGAAGGCAGGAUGUUUUUGAUGAAGCAGUGGGCUUAAUUUAGGACCAGGCAUUCUCAGUAUCUGUCACCUAACUCCCAGCGAUCUCAACACACAGUGCAGGAGGUGUUUGUGUGUAUGUGUUAGCUCAUGUUUAUCCAGGGAGGCGGGUUACAAAUUCAAGAAAUGUACACCAACAUUUGGCUCUCUAAAAAGACUUGAAUAACUCCCAAAUGUAAAAAAAAAUGCCCAUCCAUCUUUUAACUAGUGAAAUAGUAAUAAUAAUAGCUGCAGCUGUACAACAGACUUUCGUGAUAGUGUCUCUUUGAUAUGAUUUUAUUGUGAAGUAUUAAUACUCGCUAUUAAAAAAUAAUCCCAUUAAACCUGCCAAACGCCCAGAAUCUUGAUUUCUUUUUCUCAAGGAACUGGCUUGGUUGUAGCUCCUGCUUGGCUAUAAAAUAACCAAACAGGCAUAGGCAUUGCCAGCAAACCAGCAAAAGCAAAGAGCGAAUGCCAACAACCUCUGCCAAAGACUUGAGCUUGCACCCAGUGUUCUUCUCUUAUUGGUACAUAGAGGAAUUUUCUGCCUACUUCUUUGAAUUACUAAAUUUUUCUGCCUGUACGGACAUUGUUUUUAUUCAUAAUACUUCAGAAUGAGCACGCUUUGUUGUAAAGCAGCUCCAUAUUGUAUGAAGUAAUUACACGCGCCUUCAUUUUCUUGAUCUCACCGCGCUCUUGUGUGAUGAGCACACAGAUAUGGUGAUAGGAGCAAUGUGGCUUUUUGAAAACCCCGUGAGACAAUCAUGGUGACGACCCCGAGCUUGUUGUCAUUUCAGUGCUGCAUUAAAUGAACGCGCUCCGACUCGUCAAACGACGACACGGAGCGCUGAGACGAGAGCCGUGUGGUCGUCACGCAUCCAUAACGAAUGGAAAGAAAGGAAGACCACACAGCAGCAUGGUCAGAUCAGGUUGUCAGAGACCAUAUUUAAAAUCUGGGUCAGAGUCCAGGCCAUAACCUCGCUCUCACUAUUGCUGCACACUCCCUCCUCUGCACCCCAGCUCACCUUCAUCUCGUCCCACUACCCUGUCUUUGCCUUCUCUCCCUCUCGCUUUACACCCUUAUCUCCUCACCCACUUUUCACAUUCGCAUCUUUAUUUAUUUCAUUCACCCCCUCAGCCUUCUUUCUUGUCUUCCUUUCUCUUCGUGUGCUGCCUGAGCCAUGCACAGAGGCAGCAGCUUUGCCAUCUGCCUGUGUUGCGUUUCACAGGCAGCAUCGUAGAUUUGAGAUCAAAUUAGUGUCACUGCAAAGGAAAAUGAACAUUGGAUUUUAAAAUGUAGUGAUCUAAACAUACCAAUUUAAAAUGAAUGAAUAGCUGAGAAUAAAAGAAUGGAGGAUUUUUAACUGUUGCUCCUAUCCAAUGAGAAAUUAAGGAAAUUCAAGCCAUAUGAUUUAUGUGCAGGUUGAAGAGCAGAUAGAAGUCUGAGAGUGUUACAAUAGCCCCAUUCAGCUUUACUUUAUAAUAAGUAGAGCUGACAACAAAAUGUGCCCUGCUUGACUUACAGAGGACUUAAAAUGGAUAAAAUAGAAAAUUCUGAAUGGCAUCCUGGGCAAUAUUUCAAAGAUGUGCUCCAAUGUCAAACUUAUUUUGUCCAAAAAGCUUAGAAGGUUUUAACGUCAGAUUGCUGAUUUUGCACGUGUAGGUUAGCUUUACCCACAGACGCUGUACGUUAUUAGCUAGGAAGUCAGUGCAUACAGGAAUCAUGCAGGUUUGUUCUGGUUCUUGUAACUCUGAGAGAGUACGCUUGCAAUGCACACAGACUGUUGAGAUGCUACAUACAGCCAGUGGGCACAGCUAGUGUUAUUCAGGAGCAUUUCCAUGCAUAGGUUUGACUGCUUGUUAAAAGAAAAACAACAAAAAAAAAACAAUGCCUUGUAUUCUUUUUCAUAUGUACAUGUAUAAAACAUGCAGGAUAUCAUUUAUUAGUAGAAGCCUCUUUAAGACAUCUUUUACAGAGCUGGGCCAGUUAACGUCCAACGUUGUGCUAAAAAAAUAACCUUAUCAUGUCAAUCCUAUGAAUAGAAAUGAUAUUUCAUCUAACUCCUAGUCAAUCAUUAUUAUUUCUUUAAAAAGUCUGAAUGUGUUUUCAGAAAAUCUAAUGCAUUGCUGCUUGGAAAACUGAGAAAAAGAGCCAGAGACAGAGUUUGAUUUAAGAUGAAGGAGGUGCUACACUGCUAUUCUCUGAAGCAGACCUGGCAGUCCUGCAGCAGCCGUAACAGUGCCUUUGCUGCUAUUCAUCACAGGGAAAAUGGCAAACACUGUACAAAUCAACUGGCAUAAAUGUUCGUGCUUCUUUUCAGCUCAGUGGCUCUGAACCUAUUGUGGGGCUAACAUGGCUGCCAACAAUAAGACAUGAUGACAUUGUCCUGCUCUCUUGCUGGAGGCCUCCCAGUAAGGAGUUCUUGUGAAUGCCUCUUCAGUGUGACAUGGAGACGGGCCCGCAACCACCAGCGGAGCCUGAGCUGAGCUGCUGAGCUGCUGAGCUGCUGAGCUGCUUUAGAGCCCUGCUGAGACCUGCCAGGCCCACAGCUUUCCCUGCCAGGGGCCUCGGCUCGCAGUCAGAGCACCAACCGUGGCUAGAACAUGUAACCUCCCCCCCUGCCAUCUCAAUCUCCAGGCAGAACAGGAUCGCGAUGGCCCCGGUGAGACCAGAUCAAGCCAAUCCAAUUGCCGAGCGGGGAUCAAGUCACCAUGCUGGUGCUGCACCCAGAAACCACCAGGAGCCAAACCUCCCGAGGUCUUCCCACCACAUCACACAGCCUGCUGCCUGGGCACAUGAGUGUGUGAGAGGCAGAGAAAAGAAAGCAGGAUUAAAAGAUAAAAACCAUAUGAGCAAACCAAAUCUAUUUUGAAGUACUAUGACUUCCUUCCUCAAGGAAGGCCUUUUUUUGUCCCCUAUGAUCACUCACUGGCCUUUUCACAAGCCUACGCUCUGGUCAAAGGCGAUUUAUUCAUUUUAUUCCCUUAUUUUCAUAACGUUGAGGAAUAUUCAGUCAAGUAGCUGCUACUCACUAGAUGCAGCCAAAAAAAAAAAACUGUCAGCUGAGUUCUUUUAAAUUUCUGUUUUAUAUUUUUUGUGCCCUUGGCAAUAUUUGAUCCUAAAAUAAGGUAUUGAUAUGUAGGUAUGUUUCAUCUCUGUUUUCUUGAGUGUGUAUGUGUUUGUGUUAUCCUUAACGAAACUGUAUGUACAACCAAAUGAAAAUGAUGGACUCAGCACGAAAUUUGAGGUUUCAUCAAAUGUCCAUGUUAACUUUUCGUGUUGGAAAGGAAACUUUCUGUAAGUAUACUAAUCUUUAAAAAUACUUUAUUACAAGUCAAAAUUACACUAAAUAACAGAACCUCCAGAAUAUAUAUUCAGCUUCAAGUCAGAGUGUUAAUUAUGCAAAAUGGCACAUAAUAUAUUGUUGUAUUAAAGGUUCUCUGUGCAACAUUCAGGACCACUUGAUGUUGCUACAGCAAAAAGCAUCGUCGAUUACUACACCUUCCCCCUCCCUUCACAUUUCAUUUACAACUAGGAAGGUUGCAUACACAUAAAAAAAGUAAAUUACAUUAAAUCGUGACAACUUGUUCAACUUAUUUAACAUUAUCUUCACGACGGUGAGUGCAGAAGCAGAGAUCUGCAGAAAGCAGUGGAGACUCUCACAUUGAGCUAAAAUAAAACAUGCCACCAUAAAUCAGGUUAAACAUGAAUACAAGACUCUGUUUUAAAUUUUCAAAAUUUCCGUGGCACAGGCUAAAUGCUUGGACUGCACUGUCGCUUUUGCACUGCAGUGAGAGGUUACGCUCACCUUAUAAAUGCAGGGAGGACCAACAGUUUCAAAGGGAGGAACUCACAUGCACUAACAUGCAUGCCAGGCCGGAUCGGCUAGCAGAACAAAGAAACUCAGGCUACAUACAAAGAGUGUAACUUCAUUCUCUGCUAAGCAUGCCAUUACC
ensembl:lncRNA